rnacentral:lncRNA from 1 species
GCCAGACAGAGGCAACAGCAUGAACGGAAACACACAGUUCUGAAACAGCAUGACACAUUCAAAGGAGCUGUAAACAGAAUUUGGAAUUUCAGGGGCUUAAAGUAGAAGCAGGUGAUGUCAAGAGAAGAAGCUCAAAAGUAAGCCACCUACAUCAAUCCCCUGACACUCAAAAGCCUUUACCUGGUACGAGACUACGCAUCCUGCAAAGGGCAAGCCAAGUGUCACCUCCCAGGUGAAUCCUUCCUCCGUGGACAUCUGCCAGCAUCCAUUCCCCUGGUUCAGGACACAUCUAUUCCCCACUCGAAGUACAUAGGGUUCAAGGGAGGCCACAGGAGAGGUCAUGUGACCUAAGCCCGGACAAGGAGAAUGGCAUCACCCUGGACAUAAGGACUAGCUCAAAGAUGGACAUGUGGCACCGGCUGAACCAGAAUACCUUUUCUCCAGGGCUCCUCCACACUCAGAAAGAGCUCACUGGAUGAUAUCAAAGAGAUUCUGUACACUCUCACCUCGGUCAGCAGCAAGGCUUUCUCUUCAUACCCUUCUCAACUGGGCAAGCAAGAAAAAGGAAAAUAUACCAGCAUGAGUCCAAUGGGAAAGUCAGAGAGUCUGGCAGAAAAGAGAGUCAACUCCUACGACAAACAUAGCUUAACCACUGGUGGCCAGGGGUUCUCAAGAAGAAGGACAACUCUGUGUACCCAAACUUCCACGUAGCUUCCUGACAUUAGGUUUGGAACAUCUGAACUCUUGGUGGGGAAGAGGAGGGUGGGCUCUCCACAAUCGUCCUGCCCUCUCAUUACUUCUCCCUCCCAUAUAUCACAUCUUCUUCAGGAACAGGAAACUUUGCUUAAAGAGUACAUCAAAAUGUUUCUGUCUCACUCUUAGGCUAGCACCUUCUUUGAAGUCUGAUGGUCACACGUGAUGUCCACUUCUGUUGCUCUUUCUACAGAGGGUGAUUCAGUUCUAUCUGUGAGAUCACAGACUCCAAGGAGCUUCUCUGGG